rfam:Bacillus coagulans 36D1, complete genome.
CGGGUAUGUCUCUCAUCCGUUAUCGUGCGAGGCACUCGGCCAUGCUGUGGGUGUGUGUGCACCUUAGACGCCUGUCGUCAAGAGUGUGGUGUGAGGGCGGGUUAGAUGCCCG